UGCAGUCGAGCGGACNGAAGGGAGCUUGCUCCCGGAUGUUAGCGGCGGACGGGUGAGUAACACGUGGGUAACCUGCCUGUAAGACUGGGAUAACUCCGGGAAACCGGAGCUAAUACCGGAUAGUUCCUUGAACCGCAUGGUUCAAGGAUGAAAGACGGUUUCGGCUGUCACUUACAGAUGGACCCGCGGCGCAUUAGCUAGUUGGUGGGGUAAUGGCUCACCAAGGCGACGAUGCGUAGCCGACCUGAGAGGGUGAUCGGCCACACUGGGACUGAGACACGGCCCAGACUCCUACGGGAGGCAGCAGUAGGGAAUCUUCCGCAAUGGACGAAAGUCUGACGGAGCAACGCCGCGUGAGUGAUGAAGGUUUUCGGAUCGUAAAGCUCUGUUGUUAGGGAAGAACAAGUGCGAGAGUAACUGCUCGCACCUUGACGGUACCUAACCAGAAAGCCACGGCUAACUACGUGCCAGCAGCCGCGGUAAUACGUAGGUGGCAAGCGUUGUCCGGAAUUAUUGGGCGUAAAGGGCUCGCAGGCGGUUUCUUAAGUCUGAUGUGAAAGCCCCCGGCUCAACCGGGGAGGGUCAUUGGAAACUGGGAAACUUGAGUGCAGAAGAGGAGAGUGGAAUUCCACGUGUAGCGGUGAAAUGCGUAGAGAUGUGGAGGAACACCAGUGG
rnacentral:rRNA from 1 species